UACAGAGGUGGCAAGCGUUGUUCGGAUUUACUGGGCGUAAAGCGCGUGUAGGCGGCUUCGCAAGUUGGAUGUGAAAGCCCACGGCUCAACCGUGGAAGCGCAUCCAAAACUGCGUCGCUUGAGUCUCGGAGAGGAAGGUGGAAUGCUUGGUGUAGAGGUGAAAUUCGUAGAUAUCAAGCAGAACACCUGCGGCGAAGGCGGCCUUCUGGACGAUGACUGACGCUGAGACGCGAAAGCGUGGGGAGCAAACAGG
rnacentral:rRNA from 1 species